rnacentral:rRNA from 1 species
GCCGGAGGAUGCAAGCGUUAUCCGGAAUGAUUGGGCGUAAAGCGUCCGCAGGUGGCAGUUCAAGUCUGCUGUCAAAGACCGGGGCUUAACUUCGGAAAGGCAGUGGAAACUGAACAGCUAGAGUAUGGUAGGGGCAGAGGGAAUUCCUGGUGUAGCGGUGAAAUGCGUAGAUAUCAGGAAGAACAUCGGUGGCGAAGGCGCUCUGCUGGACCAUAACUGACACUCAGGGACGAAAGCUAGGGGAGUGAAUGGG